GACUACCGGGGUAUCUAAUCCUGUUUGCUCCCCACGCUUUCGUGCCUCAGUGUCAGUGCUGGCCCAGGUAGUCGCCUUCGCCACGGAUGUUCCUCCCGAUCUCUACGCAUUUCACUGCUACACCGGGAAUUCCACUACCCUCUACCGCACUCUAGCUAUCCAGUAUCCAAUGCCAUUCCCAGGUUGAGCCCAGGGCUUUCACAUCAGACUUAAACAACCACCUACGCACGCUUUACGCCCAGUAAUUCCGAGUAACGCUUGCACCCUUCGUAUUACCGCGGCUGCUGGCACGAAGUUAGCCGGUGCUUAUUCUUUGGGUACCGUCAGAACAAUCGGGUAUUAACCAACUGCUUUUCUUCCCCAACAAAAGAGCUUUACAACCCGAGGGCCUUCUUCACUCACGCGGCAUGGCUGGAUCAGGCUUGCGCCCAUUGUCCAAUAUUCCCCACUGCAGCCACCCGUAGG
rnacentral:rRNA from 1 species